GAGGUAUUUAGGACGCAGCGCUCAGGAUGAGCAGGCUUAUCAAGGUAGAUGAGUUUGGAUGUCAGCAUAGGAUUGCUAGAAAGCAAAAUACCAAAUAGCUUCAGGACGAAGUAUAGGGAUACCUCCAGGACGGAGAGAGCAAGUGUUUAGGAUGAACGCUUAUGCCAUAGAAGGCUAAAGGACAGCCCAAAGGAACUGGGAAGAGGAAACGCUAAGGAAUAGUGUGAAACAGUCAAAAAGGAUUGCAGGGAGCAAUUAACGUUCAUGGAAUAGAGCGAUAUGACUACUAAGAGGGCGACACGUAUGUGUCGCCCUUUUUCUUUGCC
rnacentral:other from 1 species